UCUUGAGAAGACUCACGUAAAACUGGAAUCCAGAAUUUUGUCUUUUUGAUCUUUGUUGAUUUUUACAAGGAACGCAUCCACAAAGUCGUCGCCUUCUUCGUUAACCACA
rnacentral:snoRNA from 18 species